UACGUAGGGGGCUAGCGUUGUCCGGAAUCAUUGGGCGUAAAGCGCGUGUAGGCGGUUCGGUAAGUCCGCUGUGAAAGUCGGGGGCUCAACCCUCGAAAGCCGGUGGAUACUGUCGGGCUAGAGUGCGGAAGAGGCGAGUGGAAUUCCUGGUGUAGCGGUGAAAUGCGUAGAUAUACGGAGGAACACCAGAGGCGAAGGCGGAUCGCUGGGCCAACACUGACGCUGAUGUGCGAAAGCUAGGGGAGCAAACGGG
rnacentral:rRNA from 1 species